GUGGCUGUGGCUUGGUUGGUAAAGUAUGUGUCUAGCAUACAAAAGCUCCUGGGUUUGAUCCCCAGCACCACA
rnacentral:tRNA from 1 species